rnacentral:rRNA from 1 species
AGAGUUUGAUCCUGGCUCAGGAUGAACGCUGGCGGCGUGCUUAACACAUGCAAGUCGAACGAAGCACUUUAUUUGAUUUCCUUCGGGAUUGAUUAUUUUGUGACUGAGUGGCGGACGGGUGAGUAACGCGUGGGUAACCUGCCUUGUACAGGGGGAUAACAGUUGGAAACGGCUGCUAAUACCGCAUAAGCGCACAGCAUCGCAUGAUGCAGUGUGAAAAACUCCGGUGGUAUAAGAUGGACCCGCGUUGGAUUAGCUAGUUGGUGAGGUAACGGCCCACCAAGGCGACGAUCCAUAGCCGGCCUGAGAGGGUGAACGGCCACAUUGGGACUGAGACACGGCCCAGACUCCUACGGGAGGCAGCAGUGGGGAAUAUUGCACAAUGGGGGAAACCCUGAUGCAGCGACGCCGCGUGAAGGAAGAAGUAUCUCGGUAUGUAAACUUCUAUCAGCAGGGAAGAUAGUGACGGUACCUGACUAAGAAGC